GAUGAACGCUGGCGGCGUGCCUAAUACAUGCAAGUCGAGCGAACAGACGAGGAGCUUGCUCCUCUGACGUUAGCGGCGGACGGGUGAGUAACACGUGGAUAACCUACCUAUAAGACUGGGAUAACUUCGGGAAACCGGAGCUACUACCGGAUAAUAUAUCGAACCGCAUGGUUCAAUAGUGAAAGACGGUUUUGCUGUCACUUAUAGAUGGAUCCGCGCCGCAUUAGCUAGUUGGUAAGGUAACGGCUUACCAAGGCGACGAUGCGUAGCCGACCUGAGAGGGUGAUCGGCCACACUGGAACUGAGACACGGUCCAGACUCCUACGGGAGGCAGCAGUAGGGAAUCUUCCGCAAUGGGCGAAAGCCUGACGGAGCAACGCCGCGUGAGUGAUGAAGGUCUUCGGAUCGUAAAACUCUGUUAUUAGGAAAGAACAAAUGUGUAUGUAACUAUGCACGUCUUGACGGUACCUAAACAGAAAGCCACGGCUAACUACGUG
rnacentral:rRNA from 1 species